UAGAGUCGUUCCGCCUGGCGGCGUGCCUUAAUACAUGCAAGUCGAGCGGACAGAAGGGAGCUUGCUCCCGGAUGUUAGCGGCGGACGGGUGAGUAACACGUGGGUAACCUGCCUGUAAGACUGGGAUAACUCCGGGAAACCGGAGCUAAUACCGGAUAGUUCCUUGAACCGCAUGGUUCAAGGAUGAAAGACGGUUUCGGCUGUCACUUACAGAUGGACCCGCGGCGCAUUAGCUAGUUGGUGGGGUAAUGGCUCACCAAGGCGACGAUGCGUAGCCGACCUGAGAGGGUGAUCGGCCACACUGGGACUGAGACACGGCCCAGACUCCUACGGGAGGCAGCAGUAGGGAAUCUUCCGCAAUGGACGAAAGUCUGACGGAGCAACGCCGCGUGAGUGAUGAAGGUUUUCGGAUCGUAAAGCUCUGUUGUUAGGGAAGAACAAGUGCGAGAGUAACUGCUCGCACCUUGACGGUACCUAACCAGAAAGCCACGGCUAACUACGUGCCAGCAGCCGCGGUAAUACGUAGGUGGCAAGCGUUGUCCGGAAUUAUUGGGCGUAAAGGGCUCGCAGGCGGUUUCUUAAGUCUGAUGUGAAAGCCCCCGGCUCAACCGGGGAGGGUCAUUGGAAACUGGGAAACUUGAGUGCAGAAGAGGAGAGUGGAAUUCCACGUGUAGCGGUGAAAUGCGUAGAGAUGUGGAGGAACACCAGUGGCGAAGGCGA
rnacentral:rRNA from 1 species